rnacentral:rRNA from 1 species
CCUACGGGUGGCAGCAGUGGGGGAUCUUGCACAAUGGGGGGAACCCUGAUGCAUCGACGCCGCGUGGGUGCAGGAGUGCUUCGGCAUGUAAAGCCCUAUCGGCAGGGAAGAAGCACGACGGUACCUGACUAAGCAGCCCCGGCUAACUACGUGCCAGCAGCCGCGGUCAUACGUAGGGGGCGAGCGUUAUACGGAUUUAUUGGGUUUAAAGGGUGCGCAGGCGGGUUUUUAAGUCAGCGGUAAACUCGUGGGGCUCAACCCCAUCCAGCCGUUGAAACUGGGGAUCUAGAGUGUGCGAGAGGUAUGCGGAAUGCGUGGGGGAGCGGUGAAAUGCAUAGAUAUCACGCAGAACCCCGAUUGCGAAGGCAGCAUACCGGUGCACAACUGACGCUCAGGCACGAAAGCGUGGGUAUCGAACAGGAUUAGAUACCCUGGGAGUC